GUGAACUGUUUUCUUUUAACAGGUCUCGGCUUUUUCAUCCGUAUAUGGUAGCACGCUGUGAUGUGAGAUUUUUCUGUCUUUGGGAAGGGAAUUAAUACAGUUUUGGUGGUUUGGGAGAACAGGCGAGCGUGCUGUCAGAUUUCUGAGGUGGCGCACUGUGACGGGCACGUCCCCUCUUUCCUCGCACCGUGCUGCCUGUGUCCAGGACUUUGCUCAGGUUUACUCCCUUAUCAUGACGGAGCACAUCCUCUCCUAGCUUUUUGAGAAAUAAUUCCUGAGAAGUAAGUUUCUUGAGGCAUAGACAGGGUUAAUUGGGAAUGUCACAGGAUUAUGCAGUAAGGAAGGACCUGCUCAUUUUGUUUGGGAUUCCACAUGUUCCCGUCUUGGGCGUUUUCUUUUCGGUGAGUCCACUUCGGCCCGGUGGACUGUCGUCUCUACCUCCAGGUUUUGAGCCCCUGUGGUCCAGAGGCUCAUGUGAAUUCGCCUGAGAACACAGAGCAGAGCUGCCGUGGACAGCUUGGAGUUGUCUAAAGAUUGAAGACAAGAACCAAAGUCAUGAGCUUACAAGCUAUCAAACUUGAAAGAUGUAUGGAGGUGAAGUCCCACUGCCAAACCGCCCCACCAAACCUUUUCAAAGUGAGUUUUCUUUCCAACAUGAAAAAGGACCGUUUAUGCUACACAUGCAUAAAAUUGUCAGCUCUGGCUUGUUCGUGACAGUAUGUUUUUUGUACCUGCCCACUCCAACGUAGUAGACAGGAUCGUCUUCCA